rnacentral:rRNA from 1 species
UACAGAGGGGGCAAGCGUUGUUCGGAAUUACUGGGCGUAAAGGGCGCGUAGGCGGCCCGCUAAGUCGAACGUGAAAUCCCCGAGCUCAACUCGGGAACUGCGUCCGAUACUGGUGGGCUUGAAUCCGGGAGAGGGAUGCGGAAUUCCAGGUGUAGCGGUGAAAUGCGUAGAGAUCAGGAGGAACACCGGUGGCGAAGGCGGGUCUCUGGGCAGUAACUGACGCUGAGGAGCGAAAGCGUGGGGAGCGAACAGG